GGCGAACGGCAGCAGCUCCGACAGCGACUCCUGCGCAUCGAUCACCGAGAGAGAAUCGGGCUCAGCAUGCGUCCAUCCAUUGGUCGACAAGAAUGGCGCGCACGGUCACACACCUGGGCGUCGGCGACGGGGAAGAAGAAUGCCGGCCCGGCGGCGGCGAGGAGGGCGACGACGGCGGCGGCGAGCGCCCCCUUCAUUGUGGCUGGGUGCAUCGGGAUCUGGGGCGGCGCGAGCUGAGCUAGCUCUCGCGAGCUGGUAGAGAGAAGCGAGGGCUAGUGACCGAGUUGGACGCUUGCCUCAGAUAUAACGCGGGGACAGCGGCUCUAACUCUAUCCCCAGCAACCACACCGUGGGGACGACGACAUUGGAG
rnacentral:lncRNA from 1 species